GCAGAAGAAACACCUUCUGAAGGAGAAGCUCAGAUGCCCUCUCUGCCACCACAAAAUGAAAAUGGUAUCUGUGACGAAGAAGGACCAAUACAACUGAUUCUCACAAGGACUCAGGCUCAGACAGAUUGAUAUGAUCAGUGAUGACAUUGCUAGCAGCUCCACAACACUGACUAAAAUGGCAAGGUGCAUUCGAGAGGUUUGUAUUUGCUCAAUAGACAGACACAGAAGGAGGAGCAGGCAGUGUCUUGGUGGUCAAAAAGAAUUUGUUGUGAUAGACGAGAGCUGCUUCCGUCAUCAGCGAAAGUAUGCACGGGGACGAUUUGGAAAUACAUGGAGAAGGAAGAAAUGGGUCUUUGGAAUGAUGGGAGUCAAAGACAAAAGACGGAGACUGGUGUUGAAACUAGUGUAGAAACGAUCAAGGCACCACCUUGUUCCUCUGAUCAGAAAGCAUGUUAAGGCAGGAAGCAGCAUUAUCAGUGAUGAGUGGAGGGCAUAUAAGGUUGUGUUGAGGAACAUGGGGUACAAACACUAUACCACAAACCACAGCAGGUGGUUUGUGGAUCCCCGGUCCGGUGGCCACACACAACACAUUGAACGAGCUUGGGGGAUUAUCAAAGGACCCAAGCUCGUUCUAUAUCGUAUCUAUAGACUGAGAGGAAAUCGCACAGAGACUUUGUUAAAGGAGCACCUCAAGGUACUUGAAUGGUCAUCCUGGCUUGGCUCUCGUCAUCUUGAUGGGCCACUUGGACGUUUGUUCAAGGACAUACAAAAAGCCUUUCCAGUGUGAAUGUUCACAAUUUAUUUCUUAUAUUAGCUAAAUGUUAAUGUUUGUAACUAAUGUUUGUAAAUAAAU